GGUGCGAUGGCGGAGUGGUUAACGCGCAGCGCUGCUAUUAGAAUCUUCUAGGUAAUAAUAUAACGCUGUUCCUUCGGGAGCGUGAGUUCGAAUCUCACUCGCAUCG